ACGGCGCCGUCGGAUCCCAGAGCGGCUGGUGCAAGCUUAAAGUGUUGCUGCCAGACCUUUCUUCUCUUCUAAUUUACCAAGUGAAGAAUGUUGAAAUAUCCAACUAUAAUUUGUGGAUUUCUCCUUUCAAUGCUAUCAUUUUUGGUGCUUCAUGUAUUUUUGAAGCUCUAUUAUUAGCGGAGACCUGAAAGCAGCUUAGCCAUGAGCAGCGCUCAAAUAAGGAAAGAAAUUCUUUGCAAUAAAUAGGGAUCUUUGAAAGGUUUUACGUUGGACCCGCCUUACCGUGGACAGACACUAGAGGGUGCUCCUCGCUCAGAAAGCCGAGUGUUUCCAGGCCCGGGACCUCUGCCAGGAAGCGCUUCGACUGCCGGUUCUGAAACUCUCUCUUUGGGUCUGGUAAUUUACUGGGGAGAACUGGCUGCUGCCUUGGUUCUGAAACUAAAGGCUUUUUACGGAAGUAGGAGGAGACUGCAAGAGGCUAUAUGGAGCAGAAAUGUGGCUCCUUCAAACUUUCACCAAUUGGCGUUCUGCCGGACUGUGACUUGGAGGAUUCCAGCAGUGUCUCAUUCACCCAUGAGCCCCAGGGUCUAGCACACAUAGUGUCUGGCAGACAGUGAGCGCUUUGUAAAUAUUUAUGGAAUGGGACCAACCGAUGGAGGCGUCUGAGACCUAAAUAAUUAUAAUUACAAAUUGGCAAGUGCUGGCACGAUGACCACAGACCAUUAAGGGCGCUCCCAGAAGAGUGGGGGCUGGGGAGGAUUGGCCAGAAUGGCUUCCUGAAAUUCAGGAGCCCUGGCACUCUCUGGGGUACACAGAAAAGAUCUUCCACAUCCGGCUUUUGGAUAUUUAAAAACAGCUUCAUGCUCCAUUUUUUUCAUGUCCUUCCUGUGGAAUGAUUUCUAGGCUUUUCACUAAGUUGAUCGCUCCCUGCAGACUUGUAGGAAGGCAAAUAAUAGGUUAGCACCUACUGGGUUCAAGCAUCUCCUAUGAUCUCCAUUAUCUGAUUUAAUUGUGUCUUUAUCUCAUUUAAUCCCCACAACAACUCUCUGAGACUAAGGCUAUUAUCCACAUUCUACAGAUUAGAACUUGGUAAGGUUUGAUAACUGGCCCAAGAUCACACCAUUAGGGAGUGACAGGACCAGUAUUUGAACCCAGAUAGUCUAGCAGCAAAAGAUGCUUUUAAAAAUUUUCACUUAAAAGAAUAACAACAACAGCAACUAACAGUAUGGAGGGGGCCAGAUAGUUUUCUGUGUUUUACAUUUAUUAACUCAUUUAAGUCAUUUAAUUGCUAUACACCUAGAUGUCAUCCUUUCUAUUAAUACAUUGUUAGUACUGAAAAGUGAAGAGAAUGAUACAACAAACACCCAUGUACUCAUCACCUGGCAUGAAAAAAAGGUUAAUGUUAAAGUUGAUAUUAUCCAGCCACAACAAUCUUGAAAAAGAACAAAGUUGGAGAACUUGGCCCAGUGCGGUGGCUCAUGCUUGUAAUCCCAGCAUUUUGGGAGGCCAAGGCGUGUGGAUUGCUUGAGCCCAAGAGUUCAAUACCAGCCUGGGCAACAUGGUAAAAAUACAAAAAAUUUCUACAAAAAAAAAAGUUUCUACGAAAAAAAUACAAAAAUUAGCCUGGUGUGGUGGUGCUCGCCUGUGGUCCCAGCUACUCAGGAGGCUGAGGUGGGAGGAUCACCUGAGCCCAGGGAGGUUGAGGCUGCAGUGAGCCAAGAUAGCACCACUGCACUCCAGCCUAGGCAAAAGAGCAAGACCUUGUCUCAAAAAAAAAAAAAAAAAAAAGUUGGAGAACUUACACUUUCCAAGUUCAAAAGCUACAGUAAUGAAAACAAUGUGGUACUGGCAUAAGGAUCAACAUGUACAUCAAUGGAAUAGAAUUGAGAGUCCAGAAAUAAACCUGUAUGUUUACGGUCAAGGUAUCAAGACAAUUAAAUAAGGAAAUAAGUUUUUUUCCCCACAAAUAGUGCUGGGACAUCUGGAUAGCCACAUGCAAAAGAAUGAAUUUGGACUCCUAUCUUUUAUUGUCUACAAAAAUUAACUCAAAACGAAUCAAAGACCUAAAGAUAAGAACUAAAACUAUAAAACUCUUAGAAAAAACAUAGGUGUAAACCUCUAUGACCUUGGAUUAAGCAAUGGUUUCUUACAUACAACACCAAAAGCACAAUCAACUGAAGAAAAAAUAAAUCAAUUAGACUUCAUCAAAAUUAAAAAUUUGAGUGUCAAGGCCCUAUCAAAGUUAAAAGAUAAAUCACGGAAUGGGAGAAAAUUUUUGCAAAUCAUAGAUCUGGAAAGGAUCUUGUAUCCAGAAGAUAGAAGAGCUGUUUUUCUGUUGUUGUUGAGACAGAGUCUUGCUCUGUCAUCCAGCCUAAAGUGCAGUGGCAUCAUCAUAGCUCACUGCAGCUUCCACCUCGUGGGCUCAAGCAAUCCUGUCACCUCAGUCUCCCGAGUAGCUGGGACUGUAGGUGUGCACCACCAUGCCUGGAUAACUAAAAAAAAUUUUUUUUAUAGACGAGCUCUCACUAUGUUGCCCAGGAUGGUCUUGAACUCUUGGCCUCAAGCGAUACUCCCACCUCUGCCAUCCAAAGUGUUGGGAUUAGAGUGAGCCACCUCAUCCAGCCUAUAAGAACUCUUGUAAUUUAAUAAUAAAAAGACAAAUAACCCAAUUUAAAUUUGGGCAAAUGACUGGAAUAAGCAUUUCUCCAAAGAAGAUAUACAAAUGCCAAGAAGCACAUGAAAAGAUAGUCAGCAUCAGCCAGGCAUGGUGGCUCAUGCCUAUAAUCCUAGCACUUUGGGAGGCCAAGGCAGGUGGAUCACCUGAGGUCAAGAGUUUGAGACCAGCCUGGCCAACAUGGUGGCACCUCGCCUCCACUAAAAAUACAAAAAUUAGCCAGGUGUGGUGGCAGAUGUCUGUAAUCCCAGCUACUCAGGAGGCUGAGGCAAGAGAACUGCUUGAACCUGGAUGGUGGAGGUUGCAAUGAGCCAAGAUCGCACCACUACACUCCAGCCUGGGCAACAAGAGCAAAACUCCAUAUCAAAAAAAAAAAAAAAAAAAAGAUACUCAGUAUCAUUAACCAUUAGGGAAAUGCAAAUCAAAACUUUCAAACCCACUAGCAUGGCUAUAGUUUAAAAGACAAUAACUAGUAUUAGCAAGGAUGUAGACAAAUUGGAACCCUCAUAAAUCACUAGUGGGAAUAUAAAUAGGUGCAGCCUCUGUGGAAAAUGGUUUGGGAGGUCUUCAAAAAGUUCAAUAUAGAGUUACCGUAAGACCUAGAAAUUCCACUGCUAGCUAUAUACCCAAAAUAAUUGAGAACAUUAUAUAUACUUGUACAUGAGACCAGGAGCAGUGACUCACACCUAUAAACCCAGUACUUGGGGAGGCCAAGGCAGGAGGAUCCCUUGAGCCCAGGAAUUUGAGACCAGCCUGAGCAACAUAAUGAGAUCCUAUCUCUACAAAAUAUAAAAAAUCAGCUGGAUGUGGUGGUGUAUGCCUAUAAUUCCAGCUACUGGGGAGGCUGAGGUGGGAGGAUCGCUUGAGCAGAGGAGUUGGAGGCUGCAGUGAGCUAUGAUCAUACCAUUGCACUCCAGCCUGGGUAACACAGCAAGACUCUGUCUCAAAAAAAAAAAAAAAAAAGGUGUAGCUGGAUGCAGUAGCUCACGCCUGUAAUCCCAGCACUUUGGGAGGCCAAGGCGGGCAGAUCACGUGAGGUCAGGAGUUUGAGACCAGCCUGGCCAACAUGGUGAAACCCUAUCUCUACUAAAAAUACAAAAAUUAGCUGGAAGUGGUGGCGCACACCUGUAAUCCCAGCUACUCAGGAAGCCAGGAUGGGAGAAUCGCUUGAACCCAGGAGGUGGAGGUUGCAGUGAGCCGAAAUUGUACCACUGCACUCCAGCCUGGCCAAUAAAAUGAGAUUCUGUCUCAAAAAAAAAAAAAAAAAGAUACAUAUACAUAUACAUGAAUGCUCAUAGCAGCAUUAUUUAUAAUGACCAAAAGGUGGAAAUGUAUCAGUCCAUUCUCACACUGCUGUAAAGAAUUGCCUAAGACUGGGUAAUUUAUAAAGGAAAGGGUUUUAAUUGACUCACAGUUCCGCAUUGCUGGGGAGACCUCUGGAAACUUACAAUCAUGGCAGGAAGCAAAGGAGAAACAGGCACCUUCUUCACAGGGUGGCAGGACGGGAGUGAGUGCAAGCAGGGGAAAUGCCAGAUGCUUAUAAAACCAUCAGAUCUCCUGAGACUCACUCAUUAUCAUGAGAACAGCAUGGGGGAAACCACCCCCAUGAUCCAAUUACCUCUACCUGGUCCCGCCCUUGACAUGUGGGAUUAAUACAAUUCAAGGUGAGGUUUGGGUGGGGACACAGAGCCAAACCAUAUCAGGGAACAACCCAGGUGUUUAUCAGUCGACGAGUGGAUAAACAAAAUGUGGUCUGUUCAUGCAGUGGAAUAUUAUUCUACCAUAAAAAGGAAUGAAGUACUGAUACAAGCUACAGCAUGGAUGAACCUUGUAAACACUAUGCUAAGUGAAAGAAGCCAGUCACAAAAGGCCAUAUAUUAUAUGAUUCCAUUUAUAUUAAAUGUUCAGAUAGGCACAUUCAUUGAGAUCUGUGGUUGUCAGGGGCUAGAAGUAGGGAGUAAUGAGAAAUGACUGCACACAGGCACAGGUUCUGGAAUUGGAUAGUAGUGAUUGUUGAACCGCCUUGUGAAUCUGCUAAAAAACACUGAGUCAUACAUUUGUAAAUGGUGAAUUUUAUAGUAUAUGAAUUAUAGCUCAAUAAAAAAAGAGAGAGAAAAAAGUUGAUAUUUUCUUCAUAGAUAGCUCCAUGGUUCUCAAACAUUUUGGUCUCAAAACCCCUUUAGACUCUUAACAAUUACUGAGGGCCCCAAAAAGCUCUUGUUUAUGUAUUUUGUUUUUGUGUGCUUAUGUUCAAUAUCCAUUGACAUUUACCAUGUUAGAAAGUAAAACAGAAAUUUGUAAAAAUAUGCAUUAUUUCCUUUAAAAUAGCAUUAAUAAACCAUAUGCUGUACAUGUUAUCAUAAAUAACAGUUGAAAAAUAAUUGUAUUUUCCAAAACAAAAGAAUUAGUGAGAAGAGUGACAUUGUUUUGCAUUUUUGCUGUCAAAUGUCUGGCUGAGUAGAAGAUAGCUGCAUUCUCUUACCUGCUUCUACUUACAUUCAAUGUGUUGAGAUAUGUUGUUUUGGUUGAAAUAUAUGAAAAAAGUCUGUCUUCACACAGAUACGUGGUUGAAAAAAGGAAGACUAUCUUAAUAGCCUUUUCAAAUAAUUGUGGAUAUUUUUCUUAGAUUACAUACCAAAACUGGACAAGUAUAGUUUCUUAAAGGUUAAUUGCAAUGUGGAACCUGAAACCAUAAACUUUUCAAUUGGUCUAUCAUGAUCAUGUACUUUUUUUUUUUUUUUUUCAGACAGAGUCUUACUUUGUCGCCCAGGCUGGAGUUCAGUGGCACAAUCAGGGCUUACUGCAGCCUCAACCUUCCAGGCUCGAGUGAUCCUCCCUGCUCAGCCCCUGGUGGGACUACAGGGAUGCGCCACCAUGCCCAGCUAAUUUUUUUUUAGUAGAGAUGGGUUUUUGCCUGCCUGCCUGCUUUCCUUCCUUCCUUCCUUCCUUCCUUCCUCCCUUCCUUCCUUCCUUCCUUCCUUCUUCAGGGUCUUCCUCUGUCACUCAAACUGGAGUGCAGUGGUAUUAUCUCAGCUUACUGCAACCUCCACCUCCCGGGUUCAAGCAAUUCUCAUGCCUCAGCCUCCCAAGUAGCUGGGAUCACAGGUAUGUGUCAUGAUACCUGGCUAAUUUUUGUGUUUUUUCUAAAGAUGGGGUUUCGCAAUGUUGACCAGGCUGAUCUUGAACUCCUGGCCUCAGGUGAUCCACCCACUUCGGCCUCCCAAACUGUUGGGAUUACAGGCGUGAGCCAUCAAGCCUGACCUCAAGUUCCCUCUUUCUAAUCUGGAAUUGAGAAUAGCACUAGCAUCCAGGCCCACCUCAAAGGGUCAGACUGAAGUUCAGAUGGCCCAAGGAUGCACUAGAAAGUUCUUUAUGCAAUGUAAAUGAGAGUUGCCUACUCUUGUCAGGCUCAAGUACCUUCACUCUACAGGCAACUGGCUACAGGCUUCUCACCCUGAGCGGUGGUCAGCUCAGCCAACUCACCCUCUCCACCCUCCUCCCUCCCUCCUUUUUCACAGGAAACUUAAGAGUCAGAUCUCUUCCACUGCAAAUGGAGAUUCUUGAUUUGGAGAGAAUAAGAUAAAGGACCUGACAUCAAUCCUUACUCUUGAAAGCAUGUUGUUACUUUCUAAAUAUUAUUGAAAUUAAAAAAAAAAAAUCUUCCCCCCAAAUCAGUAUAUUUGAAUUGCUAACAAGCCUCUCUGCCUUGUUUUUAUCUCAAAGAAUAAAAUGCUGAGCCCUGCGUGGGAUGCUAGAUGCUAGAGAACUCC
rnacentral:lncRNA from 1 species